UACGAAGGGGGCUAGCGUUGCUCGGAAUCACUGGGCGUAAAGGGUGCGUAGGCGGGUCUUUAAGUCAGGGGUGAAAUCCUGGAGCUCAACUCCAGAACUGCCUUUGAUACUGAAGAUCUUGAGUUCGGGAGAGGUGAGUGGAACUGCGAGUGUAGAGGUGAAAUUCGUAGAUAUUCGCAAGAACACCGGUGGCGAAGGCGGUUAGCUGGGCAGUUGCUGGACACUGAGGCGCGACAGCGUGGGGAGCAAACAGGG
rnacentral:rRNA from 1 species